rnacentral:tRNA from 1 species
GACCAAGUAGCUCAGUCGGUAGAGCACAUCCCUUUUAAGGAUGGGGUCCCGGGUUCGAGCCCCGGCUUGGUCA